rnacentral:rRNA from 1 species
UACGGGGGGAGCAAGCGUUGUUCGGAUUUACUGGGCGUAAAGGGCGCGUAGGCGGUCAGCACAAGUCAGUUGUGAAAUCUCCGGGCUUAACUCGGAAAGGUCAACUGAUACUGUGCGACUAGAGUGCAGAAGGGGCAACUGGAAUUCUCGGUGUAGCGGUGAAAUGCGUAGAUAUCGAGAGGAACACCUGCGGCGAAGGCGGGUUGCUGGGCUGACACUGACGCUGAUGCGCGAAAGCCAGGGGAGCGAACGGGAU